AAGCUCGAUGAUGACGACCUGAUCUCAUACAUUCUGACUGGGUUGGAGAACCAUUCGACCCGGUCGUGUCCGCUGUUUCCCUGCGCGUUGAGC
rnacentral:snoRNA from 1 species